UACGUAGGGGGCGAGCGUUGUCCGGAGUUACUGGGCGUAAAGCGCGCGUAGGCGGCCCGGUAAGUCCGCUGUGAAAGUCAAAGGCUCAACCUUUGAAUGUCAGCGGAUACUGCCGGGCUAGAGUCCGGAAGAGGCGAGUGGAAUUCCUGGUGUAGCGGUGGAAUGCGCAGAUAUCAGGAGGAACACCAACGGCGAAGGCAGCUCGCUGGGACGGUACUGACGCUGAGGCGCGAAAGCGUGGGGAGCGAACAGG
rnacentral:rRNA from 1 species